AGAGUUUGAUCCUGGCUCAGAACGAACGCUGGCGGCAGGCUUAACACAUGCAAGUCGAACGCUCGUAGCAAUACGGGAGUGGCAGACGGGUGAGUAACGCGUGGGAACAUACCCUCCGGUUCGGAAUAGCUCAGGGAAACUUGGAUUAAUACCGGAUACGGCUGAGAGGCGAAAGAUUUAUCGCCGGAGGAUUGGCCCGCGUUCGAUUAGCUUGUUGGUGAGGUAACGGCUCACCAAGGCGAUGAUCGAUAGCUGGUCUGAGAGGAUGAUCAGCCACAUUGGGACUGAGACACGGCCCAAACUCCUACGGGAGGCAGCAGUGGGGAAUAUUGGACAAUGGGCGCAAGCCUGAUCCAGCCAUGCCGCGUGAGUGAUGACGGCCUUAGGGUU
rnacentral:rRNA from 1 species